rnacentral:rRNA from 1 species
UCAGAUCACGUAAUAUAUUAAUAGUCGAACAGACUAACCUUUCUAAAUUUCUUCACCCAAAAUAAAAAUUAAUUCAACAUCGAGGUCGCAAACCUAAUUAUUAAUAAGAACUUACCAAUUAAAUUACGCUGUUAUCCCUAGAGUAACUAAAUUAAAUUUAACUUAAAAUAUUAAAAAUUUACCUCUUCAAAAAUUGCCCCAAUUAAAAGUUUAAUAACUUCCUAGCUUCUAGGGUCUUCUCGUCCCAAGGAUUUAUAAAAACAUUUUUAAUUUUAAUUUAAAUUCAAAAUUUUUAAAAUAAAACAUCCCCUUUAGUAUCUACCAUUCAUUCCAGUUUUCAAUCAAAAAA